AUCAACGCUGGCGGCGUGCAUGAGACAUGCAAGUCAAACGGGCGAACAAAGCUUGCUUUGUUCGCUAGUGGCGGACGGCUGAGUAACGCGUGGGUGACCUGCCCCGAAGUGGGGAAUAACUGCCCGAAAGGGUGGCUAAUACCGCAUGUGGUGGUGCGUUCGAUUGCACCAGUAAAGCCGCAAGGCGCUUCGGGAGGGGCCUGCGUCCGAUUAGCUCGUUGGUGGGGUAACGGCUCACCAAGGCGACGAUCGGUAGGUGGUCUGAGAGGACGAUCACCCAGACUGGGACUGAGACACGGCCCAGACUCCUACGGGAGGCAGCAGUCGGGAAUUUUGCGCAAUGGACGAAAGUCUGACGCAGCAACGCCGCGUGGGGGAUGACGGCCUUCGGGUUGUAAACCCCUUUUCUCAGGGACGAUAAUGACGGUACCUGAGGAAUAAGCCACGGCUAACUACGU
rnacentral:rRNA from 1 species